UCUUGGGAGAAUAAUAAUUGGGUUGUUGAAGAGAAUUAUAUGAACUAUGCUAGGAUUGUUGGAUUGUUGAUGUGGGAUUGUUGGAUUCAUAUGUGUGAUGAAGAAUGAUGUUAAUUACACCUAAUUGAGAUUGUAGAUUUGGCUAGAAGUAAAAGAAUGGGGAUUUGGUGAAGAAAACACCAUUAAUGAGGGUCAUAGAGCUUCAUGCCCACUAAGUGUUUGAUAAAAUGCUUAGAUGAACAAAACAUGGAUAUUGUUGCUAAUAUAGAAUCCCUAUGACUUGUAUUGCUAUAGAUUGAAGUUGAAGGGAUUGAAGAACAUUGUGAUACGCUCAAAAGCGGGAAGUUAAGGUACGGAUUUACAGGACGACGCUUCUGAUCAUUAGGAUUUGCUCGUAUCAGCUUAUUGGUGAGCCCCAUCUCAUUCGGGGUUUAGUCAACUUUUACUUUAUGAUUAAUUAUGCAUCUAAAGGUAUGCUGGGGGCCUUGUCCCAGUAAGUAUGUUUUCCAGUCAGACUCAUGAUAGAGGUUUCAUAGACUAGACAAGUCAGUUAUGCUAUGUCAGACAUUCGGAGUCGUAUAGCCAUUUUUGGCUCAUUCAUGUUAUUUCCGCACUCAUGUUUAAACAAGUGUUUUUAUUAAGUAUUAUGACUUACUACAUUUUAUAAA